AAAGGAUUAGUGUGUUGGGAGUGUAGUGUAGGACAUUCUAACUUUUGUAGCAAUGAAGUGCUUUACUAAACCUAGCAAUGAAGAAUAUCCAACUUUUGUCCCUCUUGGUAUGAUAUAAAAUUUUAAUAAGACAUUCUAAUAAAUUAGGAAAGUAAAAAAAAGUCAUCUUUGUUGUUGGAGAGAUAAGAGUGUUGAGAAAUGAAGAGUGAUGGAUGCUUAUGAGGUAGAAGAAAAUGUUUGAGAGCUAUAGCGUUUUUGGGUGUUGCUUUAAAAGUUAUUUUUGGAGUUACGAAAAAAUAAUAAGGGAUUGAGAGUUCAAUAAAGAAUAAAACAAGCUAAAUAACAUUUUUCUUUUCAAUGCAUCAAUUUAUUUGUUUGAAAAAUAAAAAUUUUGAAAAUCUUUAAAAACCUCUAAAAGUCAUAUUUUAUAAAAUUAUGGUUUGUCUCAAACAUAAAAUCAUGGUUUCAAAAUCUUAUAAAAGCUCUAAGUACCUUUGAUAACUCUCUCAAACAAAUUGUUAAUCUACAAAUGAGAAAUGCAUAUUUUAAAUAUACAACCUAUCAAACAUAAGUAUUUAAAUGAAUGUUACCAAAAGGAAGUUUUUAGUAGGAUUUUGAUGGAUUAAAAAUGAAAUUUCAAUAAUGCUAUAUUUUGGACCAAGGGAUUUGAUUUCAUGGAUUUAGAUUUGAAUUAAAUAAGUUGUUUGGAUAUUUUAAAUGAAAAUGAAUUUGAAUUUGGUCUAAAUCUUAUGUAUUCAUGGCUAGCUUAGAAAUUAAAGAUUUAAAAAAUACUACUUUUAUCUUGUUAAUUUAAAUUCAUCUCACUACAAUUUGAU
rnacentral:misc_RNA from 1 species